GACGUAGGGCGCGAGCGUUGUCCGGAUUUAUUGGGCGUAAAGAGCUCGUAGGCGGCUUGUCGCGUCGUCCGUGAAAACCUGCAGCUCAACUGCAGGCUUGCGGUCGAUACGGGCAGGCUAGAGUUCGGUAGGGGAGCCGGAAUUCCUGGUGUAGCGGUGAAAUGCGCAGAUAUCAGGAAGAACACCCGUGGCUAAGGCGGCUCUCUAGUACGGGUACUGACGCUGAGACGCGAAAAGCGUGGGGGAGCGAACAGG
rnacentral:rRNA from 1 species